AUCGAACGCUGGCGGCAGGCCUAACACAUGCAAGUCGAACGAGUGGCGGACGUGUGAGUAAUGUCUGGGAAACUGCCUGAUGGAGGGGGAUAACUACUGGAAACGUUAGCUAAUACCGCAUACCUUCAGAUGUGCCCAGAUGGGAUUAGCUUGUUGGUGGGGUAACGGCUCACCAAGGCGACGAUCACUAGCGGGUCUGAGGGGAUGACCGGCAACACUGGAAUUGAGACACGGCCCAUACCCCUACGGGAGGCAGCAUUGGGGAAUAUUGCACAAUGGGGGCAAUCCGGAUGCGGCCAGGCCGCGUGUAGGAAGAAGGCCUGCGGGUUGUAAAGUACGUUCAGCGAGUAGGCGUUAACCGAAGAAGAAGCACCGGCUAACUCCGUGCCAGCAGCCGCGGUAAUUC
rnacentral:rRNA from 1 species